AAAACCUGAUAACACCAUUUGGUUACAUGAGCAGAUGGUCAAAGAUUUAUCGGCAAAGGAUGGGCCUGCGUCUGAUUAGCUAGUUGGUAAGGUAACGGCUUACCAAGGCGACGAUCAGUAGCCGACCUGAGAGGGUGAACGGCCACAUUGGAACUGAGACACGGUCCAAACUCCUACGGGAGGCAGCAGUGGGGAAUAUUGCACAAUGGGCGAAAGCCUGAUGCAGCAACGCCGCGUGAAGGAAGAAGGCCUUCGGGUCGUAAACUUCUGUCCUUGGGGAAGAAGAACUGACGGUACCCAAGGAGGAAGCCCCGGCUAACUACGUGCCAGCAGCCGCGGUAAUACGUAGGGGGCAAGCGUUAUCCGGAAUUAUUGGGCGUAAAGAGUACGUAGGUGGCAACCUAAGCGCAGGGUUUAAGGCAAUGGCUCAACCAUUGUUCGCCCUGCGAACUGGGAUGCUUGAGUGCAGGAGAGGAAAGCGGAAUUCCUAGUGUAGCGGUGAAAUGCGUAGAUAUUAGGAGGAACACCAGUGGCGAAGGCGGCUUUCUGGACUGUAACUGACACUGAGGUACGAAAGCGUGGGGAGCAAACAGGAUUAGAUACCCUGGUAGUCCACGCCGUAAACGAAGAGGACUAGGUGUCGGGGUCGCAAGACUUCGGUGCCGUAGU
rnacentral:rRNA from 1 species